rnacentral:lncRNA from 1 species
AGAGCUCACAGUGCCCCACGAAGAAGGCCUCUCAAGCCCAGGAAGCUGAAGCCAGCCAGGGAAGGAAGGGUGAGAGGGCAGCCCGUGCAGCGUCACACCUCGGGGGGCUUGGAGCAAAACCGAGCAGUUUCUCUGUGCCAGGUGCAGCUCCUUGGACCAGGCAGUGGGAAGGUAUUGCAACAUCCUCUGUGACUGCGUGUUGUGACCUCCAGAAACGUUUGAUCCAUAAUGUUUUAGAGACAAUGAAGUAAAACCAACAUGUGCUCACCAAGUAAUCAUUAGCAUCACGUGUGCUUGGGCUGCUGGUCCUGAUGUCCAGUUCCUGUCUGUGGCAGCGAAAGAAACCGCCCCCUCAGUGUUGAGCCAAGCACCUGCUUGUUCAGUACUUCUCCAUCCUGCUCGCAUCGCAUCCACCAACCUGCUGUGCUUCACAUACGAAGCAGAUCUCUGAAGAGUAUGGAUGAGAGCUUGCACAUCUCACACGCACACCUCGGUGGGGAAAAACAUGGAACCAGAGCACUGGGAGUGCCAGCCCAGGUUGUCGUCUGCACCGGUGAUGGAUUGUCCGCGGAGACUCAUUUCUCGCAGCUUACCACCGCAGUGAGUUACAAGUACCCCUCUGUGAGCUUGGUGCACUUGCGAUUCCGUGCUACGCUUUCCCCAUGUUUUUUGACAGCUGCUGAGUUUGGGAAGAGAUGCUCUUCCUUCUCCUGCUUAUGCAGCCCAGCCCAGCCAGGGCCUGGGGGGCUCCGUCACAGCGCCUGCAGCCCUCUCAUUUCUGUCCUCCCAUCCCUGUCAGAGCUGCAGCCUAUUCCUCUUUUCACCUUGUGA